AGGUGAUAUGAACCGUUAUAACCGGCGAUACCCGAAUGGGGAAACCCAGUGUGACUCGUCACACUAUCAUUAACUGAAUCCAUAGGUUAAUGAGGCGAACCGGGGGAACUGAAACAUCUAAGUACCCCGAGGAAAAGAAAUCAACCGAGAUUCCCCCAGUAGCGGCGAGCGAACGGGGAGGAGCCCAGAGCCUGAAUCAGCAUGUGUGUUAGUGGAAGCGUCUGGAAAGGCGCGCGAUACAGGGUGACAGCCCCGUACACAAAAGCGCAUGUGCUGUGAGCUCGAUGAGUAGGGCGGGACACGUGGUAUCCUGUCUGAAUAUGGGGGGACCAUCCUCCAAGGCUAAAUACUCCUGACUGACCGAUAGUGAACCAGUACCGUGAGGGAAAGGCGAAAAGAACCCCGGCGAGGGGAGUGAAAAAGAACCUGAAACCGUGUACGUACAAGCAGUGGGAGCACCCUUUGGGUGUGACUGCGUACCUUUUGUAUAAUGGGUCAGCGACUUAUAUUCUGUAGCAAGGUUAACCGAAUAGGGGAGCCGGAGGGAAACCGAGUCUUAAUUGGGCGUUAAGUUGCAGGGUAUAGACCCGAAACCCGGUGAUCUAGCCAUGGGCAGGUUGAAGGUUGGGUAACACUAACUGGAGGACCGAACCGACUAAUGUUGAAAAAUUAGCGGAUGACCUGUGGCUGGGGGUGAAAGGCCAAUCAAACCGGGAGAUAGCUGGUUCUCCCCGAAAGCUAUUUAGGUAGCGCCUCGUGAAUUCAUCUCCGGGGGUAGAGCACUGUUUCGGCUAGGGGGCCAUCCCGGCUUACCAACCCGAUGCAAACUGCGAAUACCGGAGAAUGUUAUCACGGGAGACACACGGCGGGUGCUAACGUCCGUCGUGAAGAGGGAAACAACCCAGACCGCCAGCUAAGGUCCCAAAGUCAUGGUUAAGUGGGAAACGAUGUGGGAAGGCCCAGACAGCCAGGAUGUUGGCUUAGAAGCAGCCAUCAUUUAAAGAAAGCGUAAUAGCUCACUGGUCGAGUCGGCCUGCGCGGAAGAUGUAACGGGGCUAAACCAUGCACCGAAGCUGCGGCAGCGACACUGUGUGUUGUUGGGUAGGGGAGCGUUCUGUAAGCCUGUGAAGGUGUGUCGUGAGGCAUGCUGGAGGUAUCAGAAGUGCGAAUGCUGACAUAAGUAACGAUAAAGCGGGUGAAAAGCCCGCUCGCCGGAAGACCAAGGGUUCCUGUCCAACGUUAAUCGGGGCAGGGUGAGUCGACCCCUAAGGCGAGGCCGAAAGGCGUAGUCGAUGGGAAACGGGUUAAUAUUCCCGUACUUGGUGUUACUGCGAAGGGGGGACGGAGAAGGCUAUGUUGGCCGGGCGACGGUUGUCCCGGUUUAAGCGUGUAGGUGUGUGUUCCAGGUAAAUCCGGUUCACUUUAACACUGAGGCGUGACGACGAGGCACUACGGUGCUGAAGCAACAAAUGCCCUGCUUCCAGGAAAAGCCUCUAAGCAUCAGGUAACAUCAAAUCGUACCCCAAACCGACACAGGUGGUCAGGUAGAGAAUACCAAGGCGCUUGAGAGAACUCGGGUGAAGGAACUAGGCAAAAUGGUGCCGUAACUUCGGGAGAAGGCACGCUGACACGUAGGUGAAGUGAUUUACUCAUGGAGCUGAAGUCAGUCGAAGAUACCAGCUGGCUGCAACUGUUUAUUAAAAACACAGCACUGUGCAAACACGAAAGUGGACGUAUACGGUGUGACGCCUGCCCGGUGCCGGAAGGUUAAUUGAUGGGGUCAGCGCAAGCGAAGCUCCUGAUCGAAGCCCCGGUAAACGGCGGCCGUAACUAUAACGGUCCUAAGGUAGCGAAAUUCCUUGUCGGGUAAGUUCCGACCUGCACGAAUGGCGUAAUGAUGGCCAGGCUGUCUCCACCCGAGACUCAGUGAAAUUGAACUCGCUGUGAAGAUGCAGUGUACCCGCGGCAAGACGGAAAGACCCCGUGAACCUUUACUAUAGCUUGACACUGAACAUUGAGCCUUGAUGUGUAGGAUAGGUGGGAGGCUUUGAAGUGUGGACGCCAGUCUGCAUGGAGCCGACCUUGAAAUACCACCCUUUAAUGUUUGAUGUUCUAACGUGGACCCGUUACCCGGGUUGCGGACAGUGUCUGGUGGGUAGUUUGACUGGGGCGGUCUCCUCCUAAAGAGUAACGGAGGAGCACGAAGGUUGGCUAAUCCUGGUCGGACAUCAGGAGGUUAGUGCAAUGGCAUAAGCCAGCUUGACUGCGAGCGUGACGGCGCGAGCAGGUGCGAAAGCAGGUCAUAGUGAUCCGGUGGUUCUGAAUGGAAGGGCCAUCGCUCAACGGAUAAAAGGUACUCCGGGGAUAACAGGCUGAUACCGCCCAAGAGUUCAUAUCGACGGCGGUGUUUGGCACCUCGAUGUCGGCUCAUCACAUCCUGGGGCUGAAGUAGGUCCCAAGGGUAUGGCUGUUCGCCAUUUAAAGUGGUACGCGAGCUGGGUUUAGAACGUCGUGAGACAGUUCGGUCCCUAUCUGCCGUGGGCGCUGGAGAACUGAGGGGGGCUGCUCCUAGUACGAGAGGACCGGAGUGGACGCAUCACUGGUGUUCGGGUUGUCAUGCCAAUGGCACUGCCCGGUAGCUAAAUGCGGAAGAGAUAAGUGCUGAAAGCAUCUAAGCACGAAACUUGCCCCGA
rnacentral:rRNA from 1 species